GGAGACAAGGAGAGAGAGAGGGAGAGAGAGGCUAGCUCAAGCUCGCUAGCAUGUUAUAAUAUUAGGGGUAUAAAUGAACCUAGCUCGUUGGCAUGUUAUACUGUUAGGGGUAUAAAUGAGCUAAGGUCAGGCGAGCUAGGCCUAGUUCAACCUCGGCUUAUUUUGCAUUCGAGCUACGAUUGAUCUAACUCAUUCAAUUUUGAGUUGAACUUGA
rnacentral:lncRNA from 1 species